ACGAACGCUGGCGGCAUGCCUAACACAUGCAAGUCGAACGAGACCUUCGGGUCUAGUGGCGCACGGGUGCGUAACGCGUGGGAACCUGCCCUUAGGUUCGGAAUAACUCCCCGAAAGGGGUGCUAAUACCGGAUAAUGUCUUCGGACCAAAGAUUUAUCGCCUUUGGAUGGGCCCGCGUUGGAUUAGCUAGUUGGUAGGGUAAAAGCCUACCAAGGCGACGAUCCAUAGCUGGUCUGAGAGGAUGAUCAGCCACACUGGGACUGAGACUCGGCCCAGACUCCUACGGGAGGCAGCAGUGGGGAAUAUUGGACAAUGGGCGAAAGCCUGAUCCAGCAAUGCCGCGUGAGUGAUGAAGGCCUUAGGGUUGUAAAGCUCUUUUACCCGGGAUGAUAAUGACAGUACCGGGAGAAUAAGCUCCGGCUAACUCCGUG
rnacentral:rRNA from 1 species